GCCGCUAUAGCUCAGUGGCAGAGUGCUGGUCUUGUAAACCAGCGGUCGUGAGUUCGAUCCUCACUGGCGGCU
rnacentral:tRNA from 1 species